GACGAACGCUGGCGGCGUGCUUAACACAUGCAAGUCGAGCGGUAAGGCCCUUUCGGGGGUACGACGAGCGGCGAACGGGUAGGAGUAACAACGUGGGUGGACCUCGCCCUCCAGCUCUGGGAGUAAGCCUCGGGAAACCGGGGUACCGUAAUAACCGGAUAUGACUCCAUGACGCAUGUUGUGGGGUGGAAAGACCUUGUGCGGCUGAGGAUGGGCCCGGCCGGCCUAUCAGCUUGUUGGUGGGGUGAUGGCCUACCAAGGCGACGACGGGUAGCCGGCC
rnacentral:rRNA from 1 species